AGAGGUGUAGCUCAAGUGGUAGAGCACACCCUUAGCAUGCACGAGGUCCUGGGUUCAAUCCCCAGUACCUCCU
rnacentral:tRNA from 1 species